GACAGAGGUGCCAAGCGUUAGGCGGAAUCACUGGGCUUAAAGCGUGUGUAGGCGGACUUCUAAGUACCUUGUGAAAUCCCACGGCUUACCCGUGGAACGGCUGGGUAUACUGGUCGUUUUUGAGCCAUCUAGGGGCUACCGGAACAAAUGGUGGAGCGGUGAAAUGCGUAGAUAUCAUUUGGAACGCCAAUGGUGAAAACAGGUAGCUGGGGAUGUGCUGACGCUGAGACACG
rnacentral:rRNA from 1 species